rnacentral:rRNA from 1 species
CCAGACUCCUACGGGAGGCAGCAGUAGGGAAUCUUUCACAAUGGGCGAAAGCCUGAUGGAGCAACGCCGCGUGCAGGAUGAAGGCCUUCGGGUUGUAAACUGCUUUUAUAAGCGAGAAAUAUGAUGGUAACUUAUGAAUAAGGAUCGGCUAACUACGUGUCAGCAGCCGCGGUAAUACGUAGGGGGCAAGCGUUAUCCGGAUUUACUGGGUGUAAAGGGAGCGUAGACGGCCAGACAAGUCUGAAGUGAAAAUCCAGCGCUUAACGUUGGAAGUGCUUUGGAAACUGCCGGGCUAGAGUGCAGGAGGGGCAGGCGGAAUUCCUAGUGUAGCGGUGAAAUGCGUAGAUAUUAGGAGGAACACCAGUGGCGAAGGCGGCCUGCUGGACUGCAACUGACGUUGAGGCUCGAAGGCGUGGGGAGCAAACAGGAUUAGAUACCCCAGUA